GUGUUGUAUGAAAGGAGAGGUUAGCACUCCCCUUGACAAGGAUGGAAGAGGCCUUUGGGCCUGACAACAGAGAUUACACUGAGGCUGGAGGAUGGCUCAAUGGUAGAGUGUCUGCCUACU